AUUGAACGCUGGCGGCAGGCCUAACACAUGCAAGUCGAGCGGAUGAAGGGAGCUUGCUCCUGGAUUCAGCGGCGGACGGGUGAGUAAUGCCUAGGAAUCUGCCUGGUAGUGGGGGAUAACGUCCGGAAACGGGCGCUAAUGCCGCAUACGUCCUGAGGGAGAAAGUGGGGGAUCUUCGGACAUCACGCUAUCAGAUGAGCCUAGGUCGGAUUAGCUAGUUGGUGGGGUAAAGGCCUACCAAGGCGACGAUCCGUAACUGGUCUGAGAGGAUGAUCAGUCACACUGGAACUGAGACACGGUCCAGACUCCUACGGGAGGCAGCAGUGGGGAAUAUUGGACAAAGGGCGAAAGCCUGAUCCAGCCAUGCCGCGUGUGUGAAGAAGGUCUUCGGAUUGUAAAGCACUUUAAGUUGGGAGGAAGGGCAGUAAGUUAAUACCUUGCUGUUUUGACGUUACCAACAGAAUAAGCACCGGCUAACUUCGUG
rnacentral:rRNA from 1 species